rnacentral:rRNA from 1 species
UCGCCUGUUUACAAAAACAUGUCUGUAUGAUUGUUAUAUAGAGUCUAGCCUGCCCGCUGAUAUAAAUUGAAGGGCCGCGGUAUUCUGACCGUGCGAAGGUAGCAUAAUCAUUAGUCUUUUAAUUGAAGGCUUGUAUGAAUGGUUGGACAAAAAGCGAGCUGUCUCCUUUAUAGGACUUGAACUUAACUUUUAAGUGAAAAGGCUUAAAUGAUCUAGGGGGACGAUAAGACCCUAUAAAGCUUUACAACAAAAUAAAAUGUACUAUCACUUGUGUGAGUGUAACUUAGUUCAUAUAAAAGUUGUUUCGUUGGGGCGACGAGAAUAUAAUAAAAUAACUGUUCUUUAAUAAAAUAUACAGUAAUAAUUGUAUUAAAAUUGAUCCUUUAUUAAAGAUUAAAAGAUUAAGUUACUUUAGGGAUAACAGCGUAAUCUUCUUUAAGAGUUCAGAUCGACAAGAAGGGUUGCGACCUCGAUGUUGAAUUAAGGGUUCCUAGUGGUGCAGCAGUCACGAAGGAGGGUCUGUUCGACCUUUAAAUCCUUACGUGAUCUGAGUUCAGACCGG